GUGCUCACUUUGGCAGGGCAUACACUAAAAUCGGAACGAUACAGAGAAGGUUAGCACGGCGCCUGCACAAGCAAGAAGGAAGCAUACACAGUUCAC
rnacentral:snRNA from 1 species